rnacentral:rRNA from 1 species
GAAGAGAGAGUUAAAGAGCACGUGAAAUCGGUAAGGUGGAAACGGAUAGAGUUGACGUAUAUGGCUUGUAUUCAACCGUUAGAUUAUGCGUAACAAUGGGUUGUUUUGCGUUGACCGGUAUAAUAUAACAGUAUUUUUUAAUAGUGUUUUAUAUUGGGCUGGUUUGGCGUUGCAGUCCAUUGGUGUUUACGUUUUUUAGCGGUGCAUUUACAAGUCAAUGUGCGCUGGGACAUGCGCGUUUCGGUUGUCGAAGAAGUUUGGUGCAAGAGGUUACUUUUUGACAUUUUAAAUUUAUUUAAAAUGCGAAGUAAAACCGUGCCCCUUUCGGAGGCGAUUCGUCGUGCAUGUAGUACUAUGGUUUAUUAAACUUCUUAAAGGAUGGCAUUUUAAAAUUAAAAAAAAAAAAAUGCGAAUAUUUAAAUUUUUAAAUUGUAUUUGUUGAUUAUACGAGUCGCAUGCGAUGCGUAUAAUUAUUUUAAAAAAAAAAAAAAAAAAAAUAAAUACAAUUAUUUAAAUAUUUCCCUCUUUCCUUUAUCCCGGUGUAAAAGUCAAUCAUCUAUCCGACCCGUCUUGAAACACGGACCAAGGAGUUUAACGUAUACGCGAGUCAUUGGGUGUUGAAAACCUAAAGGCGUAAUGAAAGUGAAUGUAUUUCUUUGAAAAUACAAAUAUGCGAUCCCAUAAAUUUCGAUUUAAGGGCGCAGCAUAGCCCCGUUUUUGUCGCAUGCGAUGGAGCGGAGGAAGAGCGUAUGCGUUGAGACCCGAAAGAUGGUGAACUAUGCCUGAGCAGGACGAAGCCAGAGGAAACUCUGGUGGAAGUCCGAAUCGGUUCUGACGUGCAAAUCGAUCGUCUGACUUGGGUAUAGGGGCGAAAGACUAAUCGAACUAUC